rnacentral:misc_RNA from 1 species
GUCAUACGUUGAGUAGUUCAAUGCUGCACAAUUCAGCUUUUCACUAAAAUAAGCAAUAGGACGUCUUUCCUGCAUCAAAAUAGUACCUAUACCAAUCUCAGAAGCAUCACAUUCUAUUUCAAAUGUUUUAGUGAAAUCAGGAAGACUCAGUUAUGGACUAAAACAUAACUUAUCUUUGAUUAAAUUAAAAGCACGGUUUUGUUCCUCCCCCCAUGUGAAAUCAACAUUCUUUUUUAACAACCUCGGUUAAGGGUGUAGCUAAAGUACUGAAA